CCUCCUCCAUAUAUGAUGGCAGCUCCUCCGCCCCUUGGCCUGAAGAUGAGGCAGUCCUUCUAAGAGGAUGCCGGGGACGGGCAGCGCGACAAGGGUGGCGCGUAGGAGUUGGAGACCGGCGUGUGCUCCGACAGCGUGUGCUCCAAUAGCGGGUGGAGGGACUGCGGCGUGGGGGUGGGGAGCAACGGGUCCGUGUCCAUGGCCGGACCACCCUGCCAUUAAACUUGAAUCGUUGUGUUGGAACAUGCCACCCCUCCUUCCUGAGUCGUCGUGGGUCUCGCGAUGCUGGAGGUAGCCGCUGUUGUGGCCAUGGACGGCAACACGGAGUCCCACAACACGCCGGCCGCGUCCGGAGUCCCACAACCCCGGAGCCCAUGGAGAGCUCGACUACAACUCGGCUAGCGCAACGGUGAGUUAUAGGGCCAGCUAUGGGAGGCGAUGUUGGGGGAGGAGGGAGGCCUUUGCUGGGAUUGCAUUAGUGUGGUGCGGGUUGAGCUGGAGCUGGCUCCUAGCGAUGCUGGUUCAGGCUGAUGUGUGCGUGCAUCGCCAAACAAAGAAGCAGGCAUCCACUAGGAAAAAUAUUCAUCGAAGUUCUCAAGUUGAAGUCAAAUUGAUCAGCUACGUUUCAAAGUAUGAGAUGUGGCUCGACGGUAUUUACAUCGCCAAUGCCAAGCGAACCGAGUUCACUAAAAGCAACAAGCAGGGCAGGGUCAAAGUCAUUAUGUUCACCAUGAUGCAGAUUGCCAUCACAUUCAGACCCAAAGAUCUGGAAACUAUGAACUUGAUUAAAAGGGCAGGGUCAAAGUCAAGACCCGGGUUAGUGGCAUGAUGGUGGCCUGCAGGCUAUGGGUCUAGCAGCGUUGCAGGCAGUAGUGUGCAGCGUUUUACGAUAGGGCGUGUGGCCAGUGAUGGAGGGCUCGUGGCGGCUGCAGAUGGUGGAGUACUGUACUUGUGGUGGGCGCCCAUUCACAAGAUCUACAACAUCAUCUUUGGGUCAGUUCUCCAUGAAGACCAUCCUGCAAUAAAAGGUUACGUCUUCCUGUUAUUUGGGUGACAGACGCCGAGCCUGUCGGCCUAUGCACAUCGCUCCUGAUGUGGUAAUGUGGCGGUCGUUGUUGUUUGCCCGCAGAGCCUGUGGAGAGAUGGGACUUGCAGAGUAUAUGUAGCAGAAAGGAUCCAAGUAUUGGAGCCAAACAACUGUCUAUGCUACCAGAUCAAGGUGGGUUGAUGCAAAUAAAGUGAGGACAGGAAUAUACGGUAGCAGAAAGACCAAGCAGCCUGGUUGCUCUUUCAUUGAACUGGAUGGAUGCGUGCAUGAGUUCUUUGCAGGGAACGAGUCACAUUUUGAAACUGAAGCUAUAUACAACCCUGUUUUAGGGAUUAUAAUGAACUGUUAGUAGCAGAGCCCUUCCUAAUGUGAAAGCUAAUACAUUUCUAUGGUAACCAUUCAUCAGUACCUAUGAUUCAAUAAUCUUAUUUUUAUGAAAUGAUGAAACCCGAAGUAUUUCUAUAUAUGUCAUGAGCCACUUAAUGUGCAACUGAGUGCACACUGUUAUCCAAAUUUUAUUGGUCCAUCUAAGAUGUUUCCUUCUGGUAUUGCAAUUUAUGCGAGGUAAUACCCACAGUUUUUGCUGUGAUGUUACCAUGUCAGAAAAUUACCUGUCCACUGCAUCACUUAUUUGUUCUUCUCUCAUGUUCUUGUCUAACCGUUAUAUUUUUACUCCGAACUUACUAACCCAGCUUUGGUUUCUCUGGCUUAAACUAAUCUGGGAGCAGGGUAUCAUGUGCCCACUCACCUGUUGGUGCAGCUGGUGGAUACAGAGAGAUCAACGAUGAGAAGACCCUCGCCGUUCUUUCGAUUGCAGCCAGUUGCGGGAUGUGAUGGCGGAGUUGUUCCGCAACCGCCCAGGGGCCAUGGACGAUGGAGAACUUCCUAACGCAGUAUGCGAGCGGGGAUGAUGGAGAACUUCCUGGCGCAGUGUGCGCGCGAGUGGGUUUCAGGACAGUUCAUGGUACAAGGUCAAGCUCAUCUUGGUGGGGCACGAUCGCCAUGGCUCAACUUUGAGCCCAGCAUCAAGUUGGAAAGCUUUAUCUGAGAUGUGAGUUGUGUCCUUUUAUGCCUUAGUUUGGUUUCUGAAUUUUCGGGCGACGCUUAUCAUUUAAGAUCAACACAACAUUUUGCUUCAAAGAAAGCUGCUGCAUAGGGACAUUUGAUGUGGUGGAUUUCAGAGAAUCAUUUUAGGGUAUUGCAUUCCAUUCAGAAAUUUUGACAUUUGGACAGUGUGUACAAUUGAAAGGAAGAGCUGGAUAUGAGUUAUGUAGGUUCAGCGUUUCAAGUUUUUGACAAUUUUUUAUGUUUAUCCUGGGAGAAAAGUGGAGCAGCUGUGUUAAGAGAUUGAUUAAUUAAAGGGAAUCAUCGAGAAGCUGUUACUAUCUUUCAUGCAUAAAAAUAAUUUUGGAGGAUGCAUGGAUUGGAGAGAUUAUGAUUACCACAAGCUUAUGUGUGUCAAUGGUAGUUAUCUGUGUAUUAGAAUAUGGAUACACAUGUAACUAUAGCUUCAUUGCCCACCUAUUUCAGUUUUUUAUAAAGUUUUUGUUGCUUAAAAUUUUAUAUUAAUCUUCUCCCGUUGCAACGCACGGGCAUUUUUUGCUAGUCUUUUCUCUUAAUAAUAAUAAAGCACGGAUUGACU